UGUACGUAUCUUUUUUAUGCAAUUACAUAGAAUCAUUGAUAACAAAAAAAUGGGUGCAGGAACUCUAUGCUCUAAUGUUAAUCAACAUGCCUACAACCAAAGGAGAGAGUAAAACCCAAAGUCAAGACAAGCAGCUUGAUGCUGAGGGAGAAGAUGGCAACGAGGAUGAAGACGACGAAGAAGAUGAUGAUGGAGAUGGUGCAUUUGGAGAAGGAGAAGAGGAAUUGUCAUCUGAAGAUGGAGGUGGAUAUGGCAACAAUUCCAACAAUAAGAGCAACUCAAAGAAGACUCCUGAAGGUGGUGCUGGUGGGGCAGAUGAAAAUGGAGAAGAGGAAGACGAUGAAGAUGGUGAAGGUGAUGACCAUGAUGAAGAUGACGAUGAGGACGAGGACGACGAAGAAGAGGAUGAGGUCGGAGAAGAGGACGAAGAAGAUGGUGUUGAAGAAGAGAAUGAAGAGGAAGAAGAAGACGAAGAUGAGGAAGCCUUGCAGCCACCAAAGAAAAGGAAGAAGUGAAUUUAGCUUAGUCAAGCCUCCUUUUGUAUUGUUGUGUACGAAUUUGGCUUCUAACUUCCCAUGAUGUUUUUUUUAAGUAUUAAACUUCUAUGUUCUUGUUUUCUUUAUAAGGAGGCCUAUGUAGGACAUGUUUUAAUUGAUAUCUGUGUUUACCAUUGCGUAAUUAGAAUUCUACAUUAUGUUGAGCAGUCAGUCUUAAAUUUACAAGACAGAAAAAAUAAUGAUCCUAGUUAAUUUUAACGUGACUUUUCUCACUUCACCAACUUCUGUAAUUUGUUUAUGUUCUACUACAGUUCC
rnacentral:lncRNA from 1 species